AACGAACGCUGGCGGCAGGCCUAACACAUGCAAGUCGAGCGCCCCGCAAGGGGAGCGGCAGACGGAUGAGUAACGCGUGGGAAUCUACCUAGUGGUACGGAAUAGCCCCGGGAAACUUGGAGUAAUACCGUAUACGCCCGAAAGGGGAAAGAUUUAUCGCCAUUAGAUGAGCCCGCGUUGGAUUAGCUAGUUGGUGGGGUAACGGCCCACCAAGGCGACGAUCCAUAGCUGGUCUGAGAGGAUGAUCAGCCACACUGGGACUGAGACACGGCCCAGACUCCUACGGGAGGCAGCAGUGGGGAAUAUUGGACAAUGGGCGAAAGCCUGAUCCAGCCAUGCCGCGUGAGUGACGAAGGUCUUCGGAUUGUAAAGCUCUUUUGGCGGGGACGAUAAUGACGGUACCCGCAGAAUAAGCCCCGGCUAACUUCGUGCCAGCAGCCGCCGUAACAC
rnacentral:rRNA from 1 species